CAGGGGACAGAAGAGGAUAAACUUCAGCUGUUCUCAAGCCCUGCCGCGUCUUUACCAAAGAUCUCCGACAGCAGCAUGAAGCUGGGAGGCUUCCUCCUCCUUGUGACCCUAGUCGUCCUCAGCUCAGAGGUACAGGAGCUUCAGGCUGCCGUGAGACCCUAUAAACUUCUGGGCACCUGCAUUGAGCUCUGCAGUGGUGACUGGGACUGUGAUCUGGAGGAGCACUGCGUCAGCAAUGGUUGUGGCCACAAAUGCGUCUCGGACUAAGGGCAGAUGAAGACAUCUUAAGGGCCAUCCUUCUCUAAUAGUUGUUCAUCCCUUCCUGGAGUUCCUGUCUUCAAAGAUGUGACUAUUUGAAACUCCUUGCCCAGGAAUACAGAUGAAAAUGGGGGCCCAUGGAUGGAGAUGACAAGGGAUGUGGUGGGGAAGGGAAAAUAAUUGUUU